rnacentral:snoRNA from 1 species
UGGUGUAAUGAUGUACCAUCUUUCGGGACAGAUAACCCUUGAUAGAAAAAAAACUACCUGAACACCA